GAUGAACGCUGACAGAAUGCUUAACACAUGCAAGUCCACUUGAACUUCGGUUUGGGUGGCGGACGGGUGAGUAACGCGUAAAGAACUUGCCUCACAGUUAGGGACAACAUUUGGAAACGAAUGCUAAUACCCGAUAUUAUGAUUUUAGGGCAUCCUAGAAUUAUGAAAGCUAUAUGCGCUGUGAGAGAGCUUUGCGUCCCAUUAGCUAGUUGGAGAGGUAACGGCUCACCAAGGCGAUGAUGGGUAGCCGGCCUGAGAGGGAGAACGGCCACAAGGGGAAUGAGACACGGCCCUUACUCCUACGGGAGGCAGCAGUGGGGAAUAUUGGACAAUGGACCAAGAGUCUGAUCCAGCAAUUCUGUGUGCACAAUGAAGUUUUUCGGAAUGUAAAGUGCUUUCAGUUGGGAAGAAAAAAAUGACGGUACCAACAGAAGAAGUGACGGCUAAAUACGU
rnacentral:rRNA from 1 species